rnacentral:lncRNA from 1 species
CUGUCUCUAAGUAAAAUAUAAAAUAGGGCUGGGGACGGGGCUCAGGGAUCAAGAGUCCCUGAGUUCAAACCCCAGUACCAAAAAAGAAUGGUGGCUUCCUGGAGGGGGACCUGGGGGAAGGAGGAGCAGGACCCCAAAUGACCUUUUUUUCUUUUAAGUUGAUCAUGUCAAGUAUUUUGUCACAGUGACCAAAAGGGAGGCUGAGGCAGGAGGAUUGAAAGGUGGAGGCCAGCCUCAGCAAGAGACCCUGUCUCUAAAUAAAAUAUAAAAAAGGGCUGGGGUCUUUGCCACCAUUCUUUAAAAAUGCAAUUCGUGCACCAGAGCCUAUAGUUUGAUAAGCCUUAGUUUAUAGCAGUCACCUGAGAACAGAUUCCUAGCCCCUCCCCUGGCCAAAACCUCUGGGCCACAACUGCACAACUGAGGGGUGGGGACAGUGAGCCACUUCUCUAACUGCGACACCCUGACUUAUGGCCGAGUGUGGGCUGGGGUCCUGGCUCUCAUCCUCCUGGCUCACCUUUCCUAGAGUGGAAUCUGCCCUGGGCACAAGAGAGGACCUUGGGUAUAGAAGCC